UCAGGACGAACGCUGGCGGCGUGCUUAACACAUGCAAGUCGAACGAGGAUACGUUGCGGAAGGCUCGGUCGGAAGGGAUGUAUUCGAGUGGCGGACGGGUGAGUAACGCGUGAGCAACCUGUCCCGGACAGGGGGAUAACACUUGGAAACAGGUGCUAAUACCGCAUAAGACCACGGUAUCACAUGGUGCUGAGGUAAAAGGAGGAAUCCGGUUCGGGGUGGGCUCGCGUCCGAUUAGAUAGUUGGUGAGGUAACGGCCCACCAAGUCGACGAUCGGUAGCCGACCUGAGAGGGUGAUCGGCCACAUUGGAACUGAGAGACGGUCCAAACUCCUGCGGGAGGCAGCAGUGGGGAAUAUUGGGCAAUGGGCGAAAGCCUGAACCCCCAGCAACGCCGCGUGAGUGAAGAAGGCCUUCGGGUUGUAAAGCUCUGUUACAGGUGACGAAGGAAGUGACGGUAAUCUGUAAGGAAGCCCCGGCUAACUACGUGCCAGCCGCAGC
rnacentral:rRNA from 1 species